GUAGAGACCGAUAGCAACCACGUGAUCAGUAAAAAUCGUGUAUUUUCACGUGAAAUUAUUUUUCGGAAUUCCGUACAUCGCCAUAGAGUAGUUGAAAAACAAAAAGGGGUUCCGAAAGUACAAGUUGUUGCUGUGACUGAUGAUUGAGAGGGUCGUCUCAACAAAAGAUAUAGAAAUUUGGCCAUAGUUUAGAUUAGGAAUACGUCAAUGUAAGAAUAGUGGACUAAAUGUUUCGUCCGUGCAGAAUGGCACUUUUUACCUCACGAAAUUCACCACCAUGCAUAGCUGCGCUACGUAAACAAACUUGUUGAUGUAGCGUGAUCGUGAUGUCCGAGUGCUGCGAGUUUCAAUACUGUUUAUGUAGUCAUUGAGAGUUUAAACAAAGUUUCUUCUGAGAAGAGGAAUUCGAUGGAUGCAUUCAACGUGGACAACGAAAUCAUAAUUUCGUUUGCAUCAUCCUAAGGACCAGUGCAAGUUGAAAUGGGCUUCCAGCCAACAACUUCAACAGCAAUUUGCCAUGAAAAUCAGCAAGAAAGGUACUUCAUUUACAUUGAUGAUGUCAUAUCCCCUGGACCCCACAACUUUACAGGUUACAGAGAAAAUUCAAGAACUUCUGCAAAAUGUGGGACUUGGAUAGAAUCAAUAAUGUAUUUGUGAGCCCAGAGCAAUGGAUAUAUUGUGCAACAUACUAAAGUGUGAAUUUAAUGGAAAACAAGUACAUGUACUCAUGUAUUACAUGUCUUUUUUAAAGACAAUAAUAUUGUAUAAAUAUAGAGGAAGUGUCAUUGUUGAUUAUUCUAAGUUUUUGAUAUAUCAAAAUCAGUAAACAUUUCUAAAUGAAAAUAAAAUACCAAUUUUAUAACUUUAA